rnacentral:rRNA from 1 species
AGUGAACGCUGGCGGUAGGCCUAACACAUGCAAGUCGAACGGCAGCACAGUAAGAGCUUGCUCUUACGGGUGGCGAGUGGCGGACGGGUGCGGAAUACAUCGGAAUCUACUUUUUCGUGGGGGAUAACGUAGGGAAACUUACGCUAAUACCGCAUACGACCUACGGGUGAAAGCAGGGGAUCUUCGGACCUUGCGCGAGUGAAUGAGCCGAUGUCGGAUUAGCUAGUUGGCGGGGUAAAGGCCCACCAAGGCGACGAUCCGUAGCUGGUCUGAGAGGAUGAUCAGCCACACUGGAACUGAGACACGGUCCAGACUCCUACGGGAGGCAGCAGUGGGGAAUAUUGGACAAUGGGCGCAAGCCUGAUCCAGCCAUACCGCGUGAGUGAAGAAGGCCUUCGGGUUGUAAAGCCCUUUUGUUGGGAAAGAAAAGCAGCAGGUUAAUACCCCGCUGUUCUGACGGUACCCAAAGAAUAAGCACCGGCUAACUUCGUG